CGAAUGCUGACAUAAGUAACGAUAAAGCGGGUGAAAAGCCCGCUCGCCGGAAGACCAAGGGUUCCUGUCCAACGUUAAUCGGGGCAGGGUGAGUCGACCCCUAAGGCGAGGCCGAAAGGCGUAGUCGAUGGGAAACAGGUUAAUAUUCCUGUACUUGGUGUUACUGCGAAGGGGGGACGGAGAAGGCUAUGUUGGCCGGGCGACGGUUGUCCCGGUUUAAGCGUGUAGGCUGGUUUUCCAGGCAAAUCCGGAAAAUCAAGGCUGAGGCGUGAUGACGAGGCACUACGGUGCUGAAGCAACAAAUGCCCUGCUUCCAGGAAAAGCCUCUAAGCAUCAGGUAACAUCAAAUCGUACCCCAAACCGACACAGGUGGUCAGGUAGAGAAUACCAAGGCGCUUGAGAGAACUCGGGUGAAGGAACUAGGCAAAAUGGUGCCGUAACUUCGGGAGAAGGCACGCUGAUAUGUAGGUGAAGUCCCUCGCGGAUGGAGCUGAAAUCAGUCGAAGAUACCAGCUGGCUGCAACUGUUUAUUAAAAACACAGCACUGUGCAAACACGAAAGUGGACGUAUACGGUGUGACGCCUGCCCGGUGCCGGAAGGUUAAUUGAUGGGGUCAGCGCAAGCGAAGCUCUUGAUCGAAGCCCCGGUAAACGGCGGCCGUAACUAUAACGGUCCUAAGGUAGCGAAAUUCCUUGUCGGGUAAGUUCCGACCUGCACGAAUGGCGUAAUGAUGGCCAGGCUGUCUCCACCCGAGACUCAGUGAAAUUGAACUCGCUGUGAAGAUGCAGUGUACCCGCGGCAAGACGGAAAGACCCCGUGAACCUUUACUAUAGCUUGACACUGAACAUUGAGCCUUGAUGUGUAGGAUAGGUGGGAGGCUUUGAAGUGUGGACGCCAGUCUGCAUGGAGCCGACCUUGAAAUACCACCCUUUAAUGUUUGAUGUUCUAACGUGGACCCGUGAUCCGGGUUGCGGACAGUGUCUGGUGGGUAGUUUGACUGGGGCGGUCUCCUCCUAAAGAGUAACGGAGGAGCACGAAGGUUGGCUAAUCCUGGUCGGACAUCAGGAGGUUAGUGCAAUGGCAUAAGCCAGCUUGACUGCGAGCGUGACGGCGCGAGCAGGUGCGAAAGCAGGUCAUAGUGAUCCGGUGGUUCUGAAUGGAAGGGCCAUCGCUCAACGGAUAAAAGGUACUCCGGGGAUAACAGGCUGAUACCGCCCAAGAGUUCAUAUCGACGGCGGUGUUUGGCACCUCGAUGUCGGCUCAUCACAUCCUGGGGCUGAAGUAGGUCCCAAGGGUAUGGCUGUUCGCCAUUUAAAGUGGUACGCGAGCUGGGUUUAGAACGUCGUGAGACAGUUCGGUCCCUAUCUGCCGUGGGCGCUGGAGAACUGAGGGGGGCUGCUCCUAGUACGAGAGGACCGGAGUGGACGCAUCACUGGUGUUCGGGUUGUCAUGCCAAUGGCACUGCCCGGUAGCUAAAUGCGGAAGAGAUAAGUGCUGAAAGCAUCUAAGCACGAAACUUGCCCCGAGAUGAGUUCUCCCUGACCCUUUAAGGGUCCUGAAGGAACGUUGAAGACGACGACGUUGAUAGGCCGGGUGUGUAAGCGCAGCGAUGCGUUGAGCUAACCGGUACUAAUGA
rnacentral:rRNA from 1 species